GCUAAAUACCUAGCCCUAACCCCCCUUAUGAGAGUCCCCUAUCUUAAUUUUUCAACUAAAACAUUCUUCGAAUUCAGUAAAGGCGAUUAAAAAAUUUUUCUGGCGCAACAACUAUAGUACCGCAAGGGAAAGAUGAAAUAAUACUGAAACAACCCUAAAGCACAAAAAAGUAGAGUUUUACCCUCGUACCUUUUGCAUCAUGGUUUAACUAGUCUAAAUAAGCAAGAAGAUUUCUAGUUUAACUCCCCGAACCUAGACGAGCUAUUUUAAGACAGCUUCCUGAGCGAACCCGUCUCUGUCGCAAAAGAGUGGGAAGAUCUUAAAAUAGCGGUGACAGACCAAACGAGUCUAGUGAUAGCUGGUUGCUCAUCAAAAGGAUUUUAGUCCUGCUUAAAGCCACAUUUUAAAUGUAGAAAUUACCUUUAAAGUUACUCAAACAAGGUACAGCCUGUUUGAAAAAGGAAACAACCUAAACUAUUGGGUUAAUAACAUCGAACAAUGACUAAGUGGGCUUAAAAGCAGCCACCUUAAACAAAAGCGUCAAAGCUUCCUCAUCUGUUCUGUCUAAUUCCUCCACCUCCCAUUAACCCCUCCCCCUCAAAGAGCAAUUCUAUACCUUUAUAGAAACUUUUAUGUUAAAACUAGUAAUAAGAAGUCAGACCUUCUCUUUAAUGCAAACCUACAUCAGCAAGGACACCCCACUGAUUCUUAACGCCCUUAAAAACAUGGCAGCAACUUACCAAGAAAAUACUUCCCCCUCCCCAGCGUUAACCUAACACCAGAGCAUUUUAAGAAAGAUUCAAAGAAAAAGAAGGAACUCGGCAAAUAAUAGCCCCGCCUGUUUACCAAAAACAUCGCCUCUUGCCACCUAUAAGAGGUCCAGCCUGCCCAGUGACUCUGUUCAACGGCCGCGGUAUCCUAACCGUGCGAAGGUAGCGUAAUCACUUGUCCUUUAAAUGAGGACUAGUAUGAACGGCUCAACGAGGGCUAUACUGUCUCCUUUUUCUAAUCAAUGAAACUAAUCUUCUCGUGAAGAAGCGAGAAUAAUUUUAUAAGACGAGAAGACCCUAUGGAGCUUUAAAUAACUGAAAAAUUUGCAUACCCCAUUUUCACCUUCCGAGCCGCUACUCUCUGAGCAUUUUUAUUUCUAAUUUUAGGUUGGGGUGACCACGGAGCAAAAUUUAACCUCCAUGACGAAGGAGACCCACUCUCUAAGCUAAAAGCUACUCCUUUAAGCAUCAACAAACUGACUUCUUUUGACCCAAUAAAUUGAUCAACGAACCAAGUUACCCUAGGGAUAACAGCGCAAUCUACUUCAAGAGCUCAUAUCGACAAGUAGGUUUACGACCUCGAUGUUGGAUCAGGGUAUCCUAGUGGUGCAGCCGCUACUAACGGUUCGUUUGUUCAACGAUUAAAACCCUACGUGAUCUGAGUUCAGACCGGAGCAAUCCAGGUCAGUUUCUAUCUAUAAAGAGCUUUUUCUAGUACGAAAGGACCGAAAAAACAUGGCCUAUACCACUUGCAAGCC
rnacentral:rRNA from 1 species